rnacentral:lncRNA from 1 species
UUUUUAGCUUUUUGUCGAGCCUUCGACUUUAGUCGAAAAAGCGAGACUAAGCGAUCCUACAUUCCGUCGUCGUCGGUGUCGUCGUCGUCGGCGGCGUCCACAAAUAUUCACUCUGUGGUUAAAGUUUUUGAAAUUUUAAUAACUUUCUUAAACUAUACUGCAUUUCUACCAAACUUGGACAGAAGCUUGUUUAUGAUCAUAAGAUAGUAUCCAGAUGUAAAUUUUUUAAAAAUAAUAUUCCAUUUUUUCCGUAUUUUACUUAUAAAUGAACUUAGUUUUUUCUGCGGGGAAACAUUACAUUCACUCUGUGGUUAAAGUUUUUAAAGUUUUAAUAACUUUCUUAAACUAUCCUUGGUUUGUACCAAACUUGGACAGAAGCUUGUUUAUGAUCAUAAGAUAGUAUCCAGAAGUAAAUUUUGUAAAAAAAUAAAUCCAUUUUUUCCAUAUUUUACUUUAAAAUGGACUUAGUUUUUCUGCAGGGAAACAUUACAUUCACUCUGUGGUUUAAGUUUUUAAAAUUUUAAUAACUUUCUUAAACUAUCCUGGGUUUGUACCAAACUUGGACAGAAGCUUAUUUAUGAUCAUAAGAUAGUAUCCAGAAGUAAAUUUUGUAAAAAGAUAACUCCAUUUUUUUCUGUAUUUUACUUUUAAAUGGACUUAGAUUUUCUUCCAGUUAACAUUACAUACAGUCUACAGUUAAAGUUUUCAAAACAUUUAUUAGAUUCAUUAACUAUCCUAAAUUUUUACCAAACUUGGACAGAAGCUUCUUACAAUCAUAAGAUAGUAUAAGAGGAAUAUUUUUAUUGAUUUUUUUCCUCAUUUUUGUUGAGCCUGCGAUUUACAGCAAAAGUAGGCGAGACACUGGGUUCCGCGGAACCCUUACAAAUUUUUUUAC